rnacentral:tRNA from 1 species
GCCUCUGUGGCCGAGUUGGUUAAGGCGUCAGAUUUAAGACCUGAUUCGCUGAAAGGCGAGCACGGGUUCGAUUCCCGUCGGAGGCA